AUGGAGCUGCUGAUGCAAAGUGUUUCUAUGGAAAUGCAACCACUGACUCCAACAGGAACAUGGAUCUCUGUCAUCAGGAUUCUCACACAUGGAUCCAGCAGAGAUUCCAGAUGGGAUUCUGAAAUAUUGUUUGUAUCACUGUGGUACACGUUUGGUGGAGGAACCAGACUGGAUGUUGGAAGUGAUGUCCGUCCCACCCUGACAGUGCUGUCCCCCUCCAUGGAUCAGGGGAACGCCACACUCCUGUGUCUGGCCAACAAUGGCUUCCCUUCAGGCUGGACUCUGUCCUGGAAGGUGGACGGCAGUGGCAGCAGCAGCAGCAGCAGCCAUAGGGUGCUGCAGAAGGACGGCCUCUACAGCUGGAGCAGCACCCUGAGGCUCUCUGCAGACCAGUGGGAGAAGGUGGACUCUGUGACCUGUGAGGCCACCCAGGGCUGCCAGACUCCAGUCUCAGAGACACUGAGGAGAAACACCUGUUCCUAGUCACCACCUCAAUGACUUGUUUUUGCUUUUACUAAGUUUUCUGCUGGAUAGAUAUUGUCCAUUUUCUUUCUUUUGUGUGCUAUCAAAAUAUUUGUAUUAAAUGUUGAUUAUUUGAUGCUUUCUGCAAAAUAAAAUUACUUUUCAAAGUUGUUUGGUAUGUGAUUGCCAAUUGCCCAGGCAAAUAUGAACAUUUUAUCUAAGACAUUU